rnacentral:rRNA from 1 species
GGGAAUUUUCCGCAAUGGGCGAAAGCCUGACGGAGCAAUACCGCGUGAGGGAUGACGGCCUAUGGGUUGUAAACCUCUUUUUUCAGGGAGGAAUAAAUGACGUGUACCUGAAGAAUAAGCAUCGGCUAACUCCGUGCCAGCAGCCGCGGUAAGACGGAGGAUGCAAGUGUUAUCCGGAAUCACUGGGCGUAAAGCGUCUGUAGGUGGUUUGAUAAGUCAACUGUUAAAUCUUGAGGCUCAACCUCAAAAUGGCAGUCGAAACUAUUAGACUAGAGUAUAGUAGGGGUAAAGGGAAUUUCCAGUGGAGCGGUGAAAUGCGUAGAUAUUGGAAAGAACACCGAUGGCGAAAGCACUUUACUGGGCUAUUACUAACACUCAGAGACGAAAGCUAGGGUAGCAAAUGGGAUUAGAUACCCCAGUAGUCA